AUUGAACGCUGGCGGCAGGCCUAACACAUGCAAGUCGAGCGGCAGCGGGAAAGUAGCUUGCUACUUUUGCCGGCGAGCGGCGGACGGGUGAGUAAUGCCUGGGAAAUUGCCCAGUCGAGGGGGAUAACAGUUGGAAACGACUGUUAAUACCGCAUACGCCCUACGGGGGAAAGCAGGGGACCUUCGGGCCUUGCGCGAUUGGAUAUGCCCAGGUGGGAUUAGCUAGUUGGUGAGGUAAUGGCUCACCAAGGCGACGAUCCCUAGCUGGUCUGAGAGGAUGAUCAGCCAAACGGGAACUGAGAAACGGUCCAGAGUCCUACGGGAGGCAGCAGUGGGGAAUAUUGCACAAUGGGGGAAACCCUGAUGCAGCCAUGCCGCGUGUGUGAAGAAGGCCUUCGGGUUGUAAAGCACUUUCAGCGAGGAGGAAAGGUCAGUAGCUAAUAUCUGCUGGCUGUGACGUUACUCGCAGAAGAAGCACCGGCUAACUCCGUGCCAGCCGCCGCGGUAAAAC
rnacentral:rRNA from 1 species